UACGUAGGGUGCGAGCGUUGUCCGGAAUUAUUGGGCGUAAAGGGCUCGUAGGCGGUUUGUCGCGUCGGGAGUGAAAACACCGGGCUUAACUCGGUGCUUGCUUUCGAUACGGGCAGACUAGAGGCAUGCAGGGGAGAACGGAAUUCCUGGUGUAGCGGUGUAAUGCGCAGAUAUCAGGAGGAACACCGGUGGCGAAGGCGGUUCUCUGGGCCGAUACUGACGCUGAGGAGCGAAAGCGUGGGGAGCGAACAGG
rnacentral:rRNA from 1 species